rnacentral:rRNA from 1 species
UACAGAGGUCCCGAGCGUUGUUCGGAUUCACUGGGCGUAAAGGGCGCGCAGGCGGCCACGCACGUCCGUUGUGAAAUCGCCCGGCUCAACUGGGCGGGGUCAGCGGAUACGGCGCGGCUGGAGCAAGCUAGGGGGCAAUGGAACUCCCGGUGUAGUGGUGGAAUGCGUAGAUAUCGGGAAGAACACCAGUGGCGAAGGCGGUUGCCUGGAGCUUUGCUGACGCUGAGGCGCGAAAGCGUGGGGAGCGAGUCCGG